rnacentral:rRNA from 1 species
AUUGAACGCUGGCGGCAGGCCUAACACAUGCAAGUCGAGCGGAUGAAGGGAGCUUGCUCCUGGAUUCAGCGGCGGACGGGUGAGUAAUGCCUAGGAAUCUGCUUGGUAGUGGGGGAUAACGUCCGGAAACGGGCCCUAAUACCGCAUACGUCCUGAUGGAGAAAGUGGGGGAUCUUCGGACCUCACGCUAUCAGAUGAGCCUAGGUCGGAUUAGCUAGUUGGUGGGGUAAAGGCCUACCAAGGCGACGAUCCGUAACUGGUCUGAGAGGAUGAUCAGUCACACUGGAACUGAGACACGGUCCAGACUCCUACGGGAGGCAGCAGUGGGGAAUAUUGGACAAUGGGCGAAAGCCUGAUCCAGCCAUGCCGCGUGUGUGAAGAAGGUCUUCGGAUUGUAAAGCACUUUAAGUUGGGAGGAAGGGCAGUAAGUUAAUACCUUGCUGCUUUGACGUUACCAACAGAAUAAGCACCGGCUAACUUCGUG